rnacentral:sRNA from 1 species
GUCACCGAUUGGAUAUUGUAUUCUAUCUCCUUAGGAUUGGCUUAUUUUAUAUGGAUAAUGAUCUCAUCACACGAAACACAGAAAAGGCCAAAAGCUUAAUAGAAGAAGGAGGAGACUGGGACAGGAGAAACCGCCUAAAAGUGUAUCAGGGUCUUUAUUGUGUGGCUAUUCGUGAUUUCAAACAGGCAGCUGAACUCUUCCUUGACACUGUUUCAACAUUUACAUCCUAUGAACUCAUGGAUUAUAAAACAUUUGUGACUUAUACUGUCUAUGUCAGUAUGAUUGCCUUAGAAAGACCAGAUCUCAGGGAAAAGGUCAUUAAAGGAGCAGAGAUUCUUGAAGUGUUGCACAGUCUUCCAGCAGUUCGGCAGUAUCUGUUUUCACUCUAUGAAUGCCGUUACUCUGUUUUCUUCCAAUCAUUAGGUAAGGAUAGGGUUGAUAUUUUUGAUUAUCUAUCUUCAUCUUACUCCUGAUCCUAUGUGCAAAUAACCUAAGACGAUUUUUCACCUAUCUGAGAAAUGUAGUGUGUAGGUAGCUGCAUGUCUUUGAUCAGUAUUCCUAAUGUGCCCAGUUUUGUUUAGAAGAAGGGUCAUCAGAUUGUGGCCUGCUGUAUGGCCCAGGAGGUAAGAAUGAUUUUUACAUUUUAAAAGUGUUGUUUAAAAAAGGAGGAUGUGACGGAGAGCUAUGUAGCUUGCAAAGCC